AAUCUGACAGGUGUGUAGUGGUAUCUUAGAGUUGUCUUAAUUUGCAUUUCUCUGAUUAAUAAUGACUUGGAGCAUCUUUUCAUAUGACUAGAAAUAGUUUCAAUUUCUUCAUCUGAGAAUUGUCUGUUCAUAUCCUUUGACCAUUUUUCAAUUGGAGAAUGGCUUGAUUUUUUAUAAAUUAGAGUUAAUUCUCUAUAUAUUUUGGAAAUGAGGCCUUUAUCAGAACCUUUGACUGUAAAAAUAUUUUCCCAGUUUAUUGCUUCCCUUCUAAUCUUGUCUGCAUUAGUUUUGUUUGUACAAAAACUUUUCAGUUUGGAUAAUCGAAAUUUUCUAUUUUGUGAUCAGUAAUGAUCUCUAGUUCUGCUUUGGUCAUAAAGACCUUCCCCUUCCAUAGGUCUGAGAGGUAAACUAUCCUAUGUUCCUCUAAUUUAUUAAUAAUUUCAUUCUUUAUGCCUAGGUCAUGAACCCAUUUUGACCUUAUCUUGGUAUACGGCGUUAAGUAUGGAUCAAUGUCUAAUUUCUGCCAUAUUAGUUUCCAAUUUUCCCAGCAAUUUUUGUCAAACAGUAAGUUCUUAUCCCAAAAGCUGGGGUCUUUGGGUUUGUCAAAGACUAGGUUGCUAUAUUUGUUGACUGUUUUGUCCCUUGAACCUAACCUAUUCCACUGAUCAACUAAUCUAUUCCUUAGCCAAUACCAAAUGGUUUUGGUAAUUGCUGCUCUAUAAUAUAAUUUUAGAUCUGGUACAGCUAAGCCACCUUCAUUUGAUUUUUUUUCAUUAAUUCCCUUGAAAUUCUUGACCUUUUGUUUUUCCAUAUAAAUUUUGUUGUUAUUUUUUCUAGGUCGUUAAAAUAGUUUUUUGGGAGUCUGAUUGGUAUAGCUCUGAAUAAAUAGAUUAGUUUAGGUAAUAUUGUCAUCUUUAUCAUAUUUGCUCGCCCUAUCCAAGAGCAUUUAAUAUUUUCCCAAUUGGUUAGAUCACACUUAAUUUGUGUGAAAAGUGGUCUGUAAUUUUGCUCAUAAAGUUUCUGAUUUUCCCUUGGCAGAUAGAUUCCUAAAUAUUUUAUAUUAUCAGUAGUUACUUUAAAUGGAAUUUCUCUUUGUAACUCUGACUGUUGGAUUUUGUUAGUGAUAUAUAAAAUGCUGAUGACUUAUGGGGGUUUAUUUUAUAACCAGCAACUUUGCUAAAGUUGUGGAUUAUUUCUAAUAACUUUUUAGUAGAAUCUCUGGAGUUCUCUAAGUAUACCAUCAUAUCGUCAGCAAAGAGUGAUAAUUUGGUUUCCUCAUUGCCUAUUCUUAUUCCUUUAAUAUCUUUCUCAGUUCUUAUUGCCAAAGCUAGCAUUUCUAAUACAAUAUUAAAUAGUAACGGUGAUAGUGGGCAACCUUGUUUCACUCCAGAUCUUAUUGGGAAUGGUUGCAGUUUGUUUCCAUUACAUAUGAUGCUUACUGAUGGUUUUAAAUAGAUGCUGCUCAUUAUUUUAAGGAAAAGUCCAUUUAUUCCUAUACUCUCAAGUGUUUUUAAUAGGAAUGCAUGUUGGAUUUUGUCAAAUGCUUUUUCUGCAUCUAUUGAGAUGAUCAUAUGGUUUUUGUUAAUUUGGUUAUUCACAUGGCCCAUUAUAUUGAUAGUUUUCCUAAUAUUGAACCAGCCCUGCAUUCCUGGUAUAAAUCCUACUUGAUCAUAGUGUAUUAUCCUGGGGAUGAUUUUCUGUAGUCUUUUUGCUAAUAUCUUAUUUAAGAUUUUAGCAUCAAUAUUCAUUAGAGAUAAUUUUUUUUCUUUCUCUGUUUCCAACCUACCUGGUUUAGGUAUCAGUACCAUGUCUGUGUCAUAGAAGGAAUUUGGUAGGACUCCUUCAUUCCCUAUUUUAUCAAAUAAUUUAUAUAGCAUUGGGGCCAAUUGUUCUUUAAAUGUUUGGUAGAAUUCGCAUGUAAAUCCAUCUGGUCCUGGGGAUUUUUUCUUAGGGAAUUGUUUAAUUGCCUGUUCUAUUUCUUUUUCUGAAAUGGGACUAUUCAAGCAAUUUACUUCCUCCUCUGUUAGUCUGGGAAGUCUAUAUUUUUGGAAGUAGUCAUCCAUUUCACUUAGAUUAUCAAAUUUUUUGGCAUAAAGUUGAGCAAAAUAACUCCUUAUUAUUUCUCUAAUUUCCUCUUCAUUGGUGGAAAGUUCUCCCUUUUCAUUUUUAAGACUACUAAUUUCAUUUUGCUCCCUUCUUUUUCUAAUCAGAUUUACCAAAGGCUUAUCUAUUUUAUUGGCUUUUUCAUAGAACCAACUCUUAGUUUUAUUAAUUAGUUCAAUAGUUUUUUUACUUUCAAUAUUUUUAAUUUCUCCUUUUAAUUUUAGAAUUUCAAAUUUAGUAUUUGAUUGGGGGUUUUAAAUUUGGUCUUUUUUUAGUUUUUUUAGUUGCAAGCCCAAUUCAUUAAUCUUUUUUUUCUCUGUUUUCUUCAUGUUAGCCUCUAAGGAUAUAAAAUUCCCUCUUAUUAUCGCUUUGGCUGCAUCCCACAAAUUUUGUUAUGACGUCUCAUCAUUGUCAUUAUCUCUAGUGAAAUUAUUAAUUGUAUCUAUAAUUUGCUGCUUCACCCAAUCAUUCUUUAAGAUGAGAUUGUUUAGUUACCAAUUAAUUUUUGGUGUAUUUACCCCUAACUUUUUGUUGAAUGUAGUUUUUAUUGCAUCAUGAUCUGAAAAGAAAGCAUUUACUAUUUCUGCUUUCUUGCAUUUAAUUUUGAGGUCUUUAUGUCCUAAUAUAUGGUCAAUUUUUGAAUAGGUUCCAUGAAUUGCUGAGAAGAAAGUAUAUUCCUUUCUGUCUCCAUUAAAUUUUCUCCAAAGAUCUAACAUACCUAAUUUUUUCUAAUAUUCUAUUUACUUCUUUAAUUUCUUUCUUAUUUGUUUGGUGGUUUGAUUUGUCUAAUUCUGAGAGUGCAAGGUUGAGAUCUCCCACUAUUACAGUUUUGUUGUCUAUUUCUUCUUGCAACUCUCUUAACUUCUCCUUUAGGAAGUUGGAUGCCAUACCACUUGGUGCAUAUAUGUUUAAUAUUGAUAUUGCUUCGUUGUUUAUGCUACCCUUUAGCAGGAUGUAGUUUCCUACCUUAUCUCUUUUAAUUAGAUCAAUUUUUGCUUUUCCUUGAUAUGAGAUAAGAAUGGCUACCCCUGCUUUUUUGACUUCACCUGAAGCAUAAUAGAUUUUGCUCCAGCCUUUUACCUUUACUCUGUAUGUAUCUCCCUGCUUUAAAUGUGUUUCUUGUAAACAACAUAUUGUAGGGUUCUGACUUUUGAUCCAGUCUGCUAUCUGCCUCCUCUUUAUGGGGGAGUUCAUCCCAUUCACAUUUAGAAUUACUAAUUCUGUAUUUCCUGCCAUCCUAAUAACCCCAGAUUAUGCUUUACUUUUUCUUGCCUCCCCCAACCCUCUUUCCCCUUUUUGAACUUUUGUACCCACCCUUGUAUCACGAUGCUUACCCACUUUAGAAUCCCUCCCUCCCCCCAUUUGAAUCUUUUCCCCUUCCUUCCCUUAUUACUCUUUUUCUUUUCCCUUUUCCUCUCCCCCUUUUUUAAUGAGUUGAGAGACAAUUUUCUCUUAAAACAAAUGUCAAUUAUUUUCUCUUUGAGCCAACUCUGGUGAGAGUAAGAUUCACACAAUGUUCCUCCCCCUCUCUAAAUUCCCUCAGAUAUGAUAAGUUUCCUUUGUCUCUUAAUGGGAUGUGGUUUCCCUAUUUUUAUCCCUCCUUCCCACCUUAUUCUGCCACCAUCCCUUUUCCAUAUCUACUUCCCUUUUUUAUGUUAUAUCAAUAAAAUCAAAUUAUACAUGUAUUCUUUUUGUAUAUACACAACAGAAAUACAAUUCUCAAGAGUUCUUUUUACCUUUUCUGCAUCUCUUGAGUCCCAUGGUUGGAGAUCAGAUUUUUUGUUUAGUUCUGGUUUUUUCCUUAUAAACAAGUGGAAUUCAUUUGUUUCAUUAAAUGUCCAUCUUCUUCCCUGUAAGAAAAUGCUCAGCUUAGCUGGGUAGUUUAUUCUUGGCUGCAUUCCAAGUUCUUUUGCCUUUCGGAAUAUCAGAUUCCAGGCCCUUCGAUCCUUUAAUGUGGAGGCAGCCAGAUCUUGGGUGAUCCUUAUUGUGGCACCUCGGUAUUUAAAUUUUUUUUUUUUUUUUUUGGCUGCUUGUAAAAUUUUUCCUUAAUCUGAUAGUUCUGAAAUUUGGCCACAAUAUUCCUUGGGGUUUUUAUUUUAGGGUUUCUUUCAGAAGGUGUUCGAUGAAUUCUUUCAAUGCCUAUUUUACCUUCUGAUUCUAUUACAUCUGAGCAGUUCUCUUUGAAGAUUUCUUGUAAAAUAGUAUCUAGGCUCUUUUUUUCAUAAUUUUCGGAAAGUCCAAUAAUCCUCAGAUUAUCUCUACUAGAUCUAUUUUCCAAGUCUGUCGUUUUUGCAAGUAGAUAAUUCUUGGUUUUUUCCAGUUUGUCAUUUUUUUGUUUUUGCUUGACUGAUUCUUGCUGUCUCAAUGAAUCAUUAGUUCCUAUUUGUUCAGUUCUAAUUUUUAAAGAAUUAUUUUCUUCAUUAGCUUUUUUUACUUCUUUCUGUAUAUGUCCAAUUGAAUUUUUAAAUGUAUUGUUUUGCUCUGUGGAAUUUUUUUCCAUUUCACUAAUUUUUUUUUUUAGUGAAUUAUUUUCUUUUUCUAAUUCAGAGAUCCUACUUUCUUGUGAGUUCUUUGUCUUUUCCAAUUCACAAAUCCUAC
ensembl:lncRNA